GUGUCAGCAGCCGCGGUAAUACGUAGGGUGCGAGCGUUAAUCGGAAUUACUGGGCGUAAAGUGUGCGCAGGCGGCCGCGCAAGUCGAGUGUGAAAGCCCCGAGCUUAACUUGGGAAUUGCGCUCGAAACUACGUGGCUGGAGUGUGGCAGAGGAAGGUGGAAUUCCACGUGUAGCGGUGAAAUGCGUAGAGAUGUGGAGGAACACCGAUGGCGAAGGCAGCCUUCUGGGCCAACACUGACGCUCAUGCACGAAAGCGUGGGGAGCAAACAGGAUUAGAUACCCUGGUAGUCCACGCCCUAAACGAUGAUGACUAGUUGUUGGAGGAGUUAAAUCCUUUAGUAACGCAGCUAACGCGUGAAGUCAUCCGCCUGGGGAGUACGGUCGCAAGAUUAAA
rnacentral:rRNA from 1 species